rnacentral:rRNA from 1 species
GACGGAGGAUGCAAGUGUUAUCCGGAAUCACUGGGCGUAAAGCGUCUGUAGGUGGUCGAAUAAGUCAACUGUUAAAUCUUGAAGCUCAACUUCAAAACCGCAGUCGAAACUAUUAGACUUGAGGAUAGUAGGGGUAAAGGGAAUUUCCAGUGGAGCGGUGAAAUGCGUAGAUAUUGGAAAGAACACCGAUGGCGAAGGCACUUUACUGGGCUAUUACUGACACUCAGAGACGAAAGCUAGGGUAGCAAAUGGG